UACGGAGGGUGCAAGCGUUAUCCGGAUUUACUGGGUUUAAAGGGUGCGUAGGCGGGCUUUUAAGUCAGCGGUGAAAUCUCCGGGCUCAACCCGGAAAUUGCCGUUGAUACUAUUAGUCUUGAAUUAAGUUGAGGUGGGCGGAAUAAGUCAUGUAGCGGUGAAAUGCUUAGAUAUGACUUAGAACACCGAUUGCGAAGGCAGCUCGCUAAACUUAUAUUGACGCUGAGGCACGAAAGCGUGGGGAUCAAACAGG
rnacentral:rRNA from 1 species